rnacentral:rRNA from 1 species
GAUGAACGCUGGCGGCGUGCUUAACACAUGCAAGUCGAACGGUGAAGCAGGAGCUUGCUCCUGUGGAUCAGUGGCGAACGGGUGAGUAACACGUGAGCAAUCUGCCCUGGACUCUGGGAUAAGCGUUGGAAACGACGUCUAAUACCGGAUACGAGGCGUGGGGGCAUCCCCAACGCCUGGAAAGAACUUCGGUCCAGGAUGAGCUCGCGGCCUAUCAGGUAGUUGGUGAGGUAACGGCUCACCAAGCCUACGACGGGUAGCCGGCCUGAGAGGGUGAGCGGCCACACUGGGACUGAGGCACGGCCCAGACUCCUACGGGAGGCAGCAGUGGGGAAUAUUGCACAAUGGGCGCAAGCCUGAUGCAGCAACGCCGCGUGAGGGACGACGGCCUUCGGGUUGUAAACCUCUUUUAGCAGGGAAGAAGCGAAAGUGACGGUACCUGCAGAAAAAGCACCGGCUAACUACGUGCCAGCCGCCGCGGUAAGAC